GACGAACGCUGGCGGCGUGCUUAACACAUGCAAGUCGAACGAAGUGGCGAACGGGUGAGUAACGCGUAAUAAACCUGCCCUUCAGAGGGGGACAACAGGUGGAAACGACUGCUAAUACCGCAUACUGAAGGAGGGGAUUGCGUAUGCUUAGCUAGUUGGCGGGGUAAAGGCCCACCAAGGCGAUGAUGAGUAGCCGGUCUGGGAGGAUGAACGGCCAACAUGGGACUGAGGAACGGCCCAGACUCCUGCGGGAGGCAGCAGUGGGGAAUCUUCCGCAAUGGGCGAAAGUCUGACGGAGCAACGCCGCGUGAGUGAUGACGGCCUUCGGGUUGUAAAGCUCUGUUAAUCGGGACGCGGUACCGGAAUAGAAAGCCACGGCUAACUACGUGCCAGCAGCCGCGGUAAUUC
rnacentral:rRNA from 1 species